GGAUGUGACUUAGCCAGAGAGUAGAGCACCUUCAGGGCUCUGUGCGUGCUGAGCACAUGGGAAUCAGAGCAGUCCAAGGGAGAGGACUCCAGGAGAACACAUAGCCAGGUGUCUGGGGUAACCUAACAGCCAGGCAGAGGACACCAGACCACCGUGAGCUCCUCCUGUCCCCUCUUCUGGAGAGUCAUUUGAUGUGACUACACUCACCUUUAUUAAUAUUCCCAAAAAGGCUCAGCACCCGCACUGGCUGUCUCUUCCACGCAGAUACUGUCUUGUACAUCUCUAGAGGGCUUGCCUGGAAAGGAAAUAGAGGAAAAAAGGAAAAAGGUCUCCAGUUUACGAUCUGGACACAUGUUUGGAGGAAAGGAGACACGCAGUCCAGUCUUCUGCACCUGUGACUGGUUUGACCCCUCUGGGCUUCACCCUUGAGAUGGCAGCCAUGGCCGCAUAUGGGGGACCAUGUUGGCUAAGCAUUCCUGUCCUACCCGUGACCAGCAAUCAUUCCUAGGCUAAGAAGAAACAAAAUCAUGCCCAAGGAUGCAACCCGGCGGUAGAGCGCUUGUGGAGCCUGCGGCCCUGGGUUCGGUCCUUAUAAACGCAGUGCCUAAAAUCCCAGUACUCAGGGGCAGAGGGUCACUGAGUUCAAGGCCAUCCUCAGCUACAUAGUGCGUUUGAGGCCAGCCUGGGUUGCCUGAGACCCUCACAACGAAACACCAGUGACACUUGCAUUGUGGCAAGAGCCUUAUCCUGUGAUGGGGUAUGUGUACCCCUGACAGCCAACAACCUGCCGCGGCAGAUCCAGCCCUGGUUGUCCUUACCCCCUCUAGAUCAUAGAAGGCCU